GUAAGUUUUAAGUCAACCAGGAAAUUUAUUAGUGUUAGAAAGCUGUCACAAAAAUUUGUGAUUAUUAAAAAGAUGUCCAAUAAUCAUAAUCAAGGGACCCACACUACAUAUAAUUAUUUAUAUUCACAUCCCAAUGCUGAUUACCAAGCAAAUGGAGAAGGCAGGCAAGUAGUUAGAAGGGGGCCAAUGCGGGCAUAUCCUGCCACUAGCUACGUGCCUGAAGAUAGCAACCUAAGAUCUGAACUUGAAAAUUUCAAAUCUGAAAUGAAUGAAAAGAUGGAACAAAAAGAUAAAGAAAUCGCAGAUUUAAAUAAAAAGAUGACAAGAAAAGAUAAGGAAGUCGCUGAAUUUAAGGAAAUGUUGGCUCAUCUGGAAGUAUCUAUGACGAAAACCGAAAAAUUAGAAGUUACAAAAAAACCCAACACUGAUACUAGAAAUUGUAAUACCAGUGAUAUUAAACUACAGAUAUUACACACACGCAAAUUGUUCCGCAGGUCUGUGAAUGAAACUAAGGAUGGUGAAGCUGUGAAGCCGAGAGCUCUACGAUUCACCUGGAGUAUGAAAACGACAAGUUCUAUGGACCCUCACGACAUGAUGAACGAAAUACGGAAAGUUCUUGAUGCAAAUAACUGUGAUUAUGAGCAACGGGAGAAAUUUCUCUUUCUCUGUGUGCACGAUGAUCCAAAUACAGACAGUCUAGUGCAAUGGGAGAUGGAAGUGUGCAAACUACCGAGACUUUCUCUAAAUGUAAAUGGAGUUCGUUUUAAACGCAUUUCCGGUACUUCAAUAGGCUUUAAGAACAUUGCAUCUAAAAUAGCUAAUGAACUGAAACUCUAAUGUUUAGCCCAGAAUUAUCUGAAUGUUGUCUGUCUGUGUGAAAUGAUGCAAGAGAUUCAUUCAAGUGGAAAAAACGUUUUUUGUUGAAAUUCCACUUACAUUGUAUCCUAUCGGACAUUUUCAAAUUAAAAACAUCGUGUUAUAUAUAUAUAUAUAUAUAAAUAUAUAAAUAUUAUAUCCUAUUAAUCUGUAUUAUAAUAGGAUUAAAAGAAAAACUAGGUUUUAAUUUUUUGUACCUGUACAUUUUGUAAUAUAUAUUGUAUAAAGUAAUAAGCAAAUGAGAGGACACCCUUUUUUUUUAGCCCCCAUAUUGUAUCUAGUUUUAUUGUAAAAUAACGUAUAUAUCUAUAUAUAUAUAUAUAAAGUCGUCUUGUAAUAUUUUUGAGGGCGAGUUAAAAAUUGAGUGUCCGAAGCUAGGAGAUCUACACAUAAAACUUGUUCUCUAACUUGCACCGUUAUUUAAUUGAUGUCCCUUUUAAAGAAAAAAAAACCUGUGCAACUGCUGUUUGUCUAGAGAUGUGGAUAUUCAGCAAUAAAAUACAUCUAUUAGUCUUUUGUCGUUUAACUAAUUAUUAUGGUUAUUGUUCCAGAUACAUUUGUUAUUUUCAGCAAGAAAAAUUUAUAGACUAUUCUUCAAUAAAUAUUUUCUUUAAAUUAAUAUUACCACAGUGUUUAAGUAGAAAUUAUGUUUAAUAUUGUAUGAAAGAUGGUUGAUUGUUAGCAUCCAUUGUAUUUCUCUUAGACUCGGUCAUUCUGGCCGUAUGCUCUUCACCUCUUGGGGAAAAUAAAAGACAGAUAAAGGGCCAUUCAAGCUUCUGAACUAUUUAUUUCCUUUAUGAAAAUAAGAAAUCGUAACGACCAAGAAAAGUGAAAUUAUAGAAUCAAAUCGCCAUAUUAUAAAACCACAAUAAAUUCUGGGUUAUUGUCUGGUAGGCCCAACGCUCUUUCAUUUCUUCGCAAUUACUUAAAAAUUUGUAGAUUGUCAAAAAGCUUCCCUUGAAAUAUCCCGGAAUAUAAAAAAUGUUGGGUAAACUAUAUUUUCCCCCAGAAUCAUGUUCAUUUUAUUCCCAGUGAGGGGAGGGGCCGCAAUGGCUCAGGGAGUAAAACGUUGGCUUGCUAACCUGGAGGUCUCGGGCUCGCUCCCAGUAUUGACUGAGGAAGUUCAUCAGGAUUUCCCCUUGUCAGAAGUGCAGAAUGGAGGGCCUGGCAAGGGACAUCAUUUGGAUGGGACGAAAAACCGAGGCGUAGUGUACACAUUGAUAACCAUGUUAAAGAACCCUUACAGUUGGAAUUCGAUAUAAGAGUAGGCCGUAGUGCCGCUGCCCGGGCAAAUUUUCCCUCAUAGUACACCAUAUCUCAUAGACCUACCCCAGUCGGAGUAGGACAUUUAACCCCAUUUCAUUUCCCAGAGGAAAGAACGUACAGACAGAAUGGAAGAGUUUCCCAGAAUGCAUCUAUUGUAGUGAAUGUUGUACAGUUUUAUUGAUAACUUACAUACCAAACCCCUAUACUCUAAUGCCUUUAAAGACUUGAUAUUCUUUAUAAAUACUGUAUUCUCAAGUCUUUUUGUAUUUCAAAUCCUUUCUCCUGUCGCUCUCUAUUUACUCGAAAUGUACUUUUUUGGUCAGAAAAUAUUGAUUAACUCUUAACAAUUGCCACAAGCCUUAUGCACGUAAUUUGGUCACAUUUUCAAUUAGAAUACAUUUGCGUAUGUAUGGUUGUUUCUGAAAAAAAAAGAAUCUCCUCGUAUAUUCCUAUUGAUAAUGGUAGAGGUAGGAGUUUUCAAUAUUUUCUUAAGGCCUAACGUAACACACCUUGAUUUAUUUAUCUGUGACACUCUGUCUACUGAUUUAUCGGCAUCGAAGUUUCGAUUGGCCAUUGUAUGUCGUAUACAAGAAUUCCCUACCCUGUUAAGGUUGUAAUGAUGUUUAUUAAAAAUCACCCACAUAAUGAGUCGUUUAUACAAAGCAAUUAGAGUGGCAUCCAUCAAACCAUCUCCACAAUCAAAGCGUGUAUUUCUAAAUAUAUCUAUGCCACCGAGGCGGUUUGCUGAUAAGGGAAUGAUCUGCCAGCAGCAGAAGUGCAACAGAUGAUAGGUCGAGAGCAGUCCUAUCACAGACCAUUGCUUAUUAGUCGGGUAAAGAAGAUGGCUCACAAAUAACUCUAGGUGUGUAUAGACAGGCCCAUUUCUCUCCAAAAAUCUCAUUUAUACACAAAAAGUACUAACUAUUAAUGAGGAGAUGUUGAUAUUUCAUUUGGAACAAAAGCUCAAAAGAAAGAAGAGAAAAAAAACCUUGUAAGGAAACUAUUUUGUAAAGUAUUUAUUUUCUAAUUGUUUAGAUAUCUAUAUAUGGUAAUUGUAUGAUGUUAUGAUGAUAACUUAUUUUAGAAUUUUGACUCUGAUGCUGUAAGAUGUUGGUGGAUGAAUAAUGUAUGAUGAUAAACUCAUUUUGGACUCUCAUGUUGAUAGAUGUUCGUAGAUUAAAAAUGUAUUAGUUCAUAUGACUAGAUUAUAAAGUCAUCCUUAGUAGCAUAUGGUUUACCUGUAGAUCACUUAUACGUUAUUUUCUUUUCAAACCUCAAAAGUAGGGUGGAUCUAGUCCGGGUUUCAAUCCUGGUGUUAGCUGAGCAGGUUCCUCAGGACUGUGCAGGACGGAGGACAUGGCAAAGAUCAGCAUAUAGUCGUAAGGAUGGGAUGAAAAACUGUAUCCUAUAAACCCCACGUUUCUUGAAUACAGAGUGCAAAUACUCCAUUUCCUAAAUUAAUUGUCAACCAAAAUCGCGUUCGUUUACAGAAAGCAAUGCUAUGGAGAGGGUUGCAUGUUUUACUGCAUAAAUUUUUAGAACUUCCAAAUUAAAAAUGCAAAUUAUACCAAUAUACAUGUAUUGUUAAUAUCACAUUAUGAAAUUAAGUCGAUAUUAAAGGUAAAUCUGCCUA